UACACUUGAAAAGCAGUGGCGAACGGGUGCGUAACACGUGAACAAUCUACCUUAAAGUGGGGAAUAGCUCGCCGAAAGGCGAAUUAAUACCGCAUACGGUUGGGACUCGCAUGAGGCCCAUACCAAAGUCGGGGACCGCAAGGGCCUGGCGCUAUAAGAGGAGUUCGCGGCCUAUCAGCUAGUUGGCGAGGUAACGGCUCACCAAGGCUAAGACGGGUAGCUGGUCUGAGAGGAUGAUCAGCCACACUGGAACUGAGACACGGUCCAGACACC
rnacentral:rRNA from 1 species